rnacentral:rRNA from 1 species
AAACUAACAAGGAUUCCCCUAGUAACUGCGAGUGAAGCGGGAAAAGCUCAAAUUUAAAAUCUGGCGGUCUUGGCCGUCCGAAUGGUAGUCUGGAGAAGCGCUUUCCGUGUUGGACCGUGUAAAAGUCUCUUGGAAUAGAGCGUCAUAGAGGGUGAGAAUCCCGUCUUUGACACGGACAACCAGUGCUUUGUGAUGCGCUCUCAAAGAGUCGAGUUGUUUGGGAAUGCAGCUCAAAAUGGGUGGUAAAUUCCAUCUAAAGCUAAAUAUUGGCGAGAGACCGAUAGCGAACAAGUACCGUGAGGGAAAGAUGAAAAGCACUUUGGAAAGAGAGUUAAACAGUACGUGAAAUUGCUGAAAGGGAAACGCUUGAAGUCAGUCGCGUCGUCCAGAACUCAGCCUGGCUUUUGCUUGGUGCAUUUUCUGGUUGACGGGCCAGCAUCAAUUUUGAUUGUUGGAUAAAGGCUUUGGGAAUGUGGCAUCUUCGGAUGUGUUAUAGCCCUUGGUUGCAUACAACAGUCGGGAUUGAGGAUCUCAGCAUGCCUUUAUGGUCGGGGUUCGCCCACGUUCAUGCUUAGGAUGCUGGCGUAAUGGCUUUAAACGACCCGUCUUGAAACACGGACCAAGGAGUCUAACAUGCCUGCGAGUGUUUGGGUGGAAAACCCGAGCGCGUAACGAAAGUGAAAGUUGGGAUCUCUGUCAUGGGGAGCACCGACGCCCAGACCAGACCUUCUGUGACGGAUCUGCGGUAGAGCAUGUAUGUUGGGACCCGAAAGAUGGUGAACUAUGCCUGAAUAGGGUGAAGCCAGAGGAAACUCUGGUGGAGGCUCGUAGCGAUUCUGACGUGCAAAUCGAUCGUCAAAUUUGGGUAUAGGGGCGAAAGACUAAUCGAACCAUGCAGUAGCGGUUCUNNN